CCUUCCCUUCCCUUCCCUUCCCUUCCCUUCCCUUCCCUUCCCUUCCUUCCACUUCCCUGCAUUAUAUUUAUCCUCCCCUUCCAUCUCUUCUCCAACUAUUUAGCUUACUCUUCAUACUUCUAUCUCUAUUUCCUUCUCCCUUCCACUCACUUCCCUUUACUCUGCUUCUCUCUUCAUCUAUUUUUCAUUAACUAAUUUACUAUCCAUCCUUCUAUUUCUUUCCUUCUCUUCUACCCACUUAUCCUCUUCAUUCGUUUUCUAACCAUCUUCUUUACUACAAAUCUUCCUAUCUCUCUUCCCUUAUCUUCCACUCACUUCCUUUUCCCAUAGUUGUCCCUUCCUUCCAUUUAUUUGUGUCUAUCAGAACUCCCAUUCAUCCUCUUAUCUCUUAUCUCUCUCUCCUCUUUCACCCACUUACUUCCCUCUUCUAUACUUAUCCAUUUCUUCUAUUUUUCAUCCAUCUAAAGUUCUCUAUCAAUCCCCUUAACUCUCUUUCCUCCCUUCCACUCACCUUUCUCAUUACUGUCCAUUCUUUCAUCUCAUCCUUUCCCUUUUAUCUAAUCUAUUCUUUCAUCCAUAUAUCUUCCUUUCCUUACCGUCCACUCCACUCUUAAUUCUCCCUUCUAUCCAUCUUCCCAUCCAUUACACUCACUCUCCCACUCACAGCAUCCAUCUCUCCACCACCUCCAUUCCACUCGCCCACCCGCAUCCCACGCCACACCCACCUCCAUCCCCUCUACCCUGACACCUCCGCCCUCAGCAACCCAAAAUUACGUCUAAUCACUGAACGACUUCCUCUGUAUCGGCGUUGUUUAUGCAGCCGCUGCCUCGUUUGUGUGUGACAUGGCCUGGGAAAGGUCGGAAAGGCUGGUGGAAGCUGGUGGAGGAUGGGGAGUGACUGGGGGAAGACAGGGGAGACUGGGAAGGGUUGUAGAUGAAUAGAGAGCAGUUAGGGGGACUGGGGAAGACUGGGGAAUGUUAAAGUAAGCUGGGAAAUAGCUCUGGGGAUUGGUUUGAUUAGGAAAUAUUGUAGGCAGCUGAAUAGAAGUUGGUAAAGGGAUUUGGGGAGACUGAUGAAUGUUGGAGAACGCUGGGGGAGUAGGUAGAGGAAUUGGAGGACACUGGGGAAGGUGGGGAGGACUUCAAAUGGCUGAGAAAACUGCGGUAGCGUUGGGGAAGGUGGGGGGACGUUUGGGGAAGGAUGAGGAUGGUUGGUAUAACGUUGGGGUAGGUUGGGAAAGACUUGGGAGGCUGAAGGACGUUUGGGGAAGCUUGACAGUAUGGAGGACGGUCGAAAAGUGGGUAUGAGGAGAAUGGGGAGUGGGUGGGGAGGAGUGGGGAAGAAUGGUGAAGUGUGUGGUCCAUCUCAAAGGAAGAAAGGGUUAUGGGGGCACAAUGGAACGCCUGUUUGUCUGUCUGUCUGUCGCUCUGUAUCCCUGUCUGUCUGUCUCUGUCUAUCUGUCUGUCUGGCCAAUUCUCCAUCUCUUGUUUUAUGGAAAGGAUGCGGGAGGGAGGGACGGUGAGGGAGAGAAAGGAGAACGAGAUAAAUUAAGAGAGGGAAUAAAUAUGGAGGUCUCGGAGGAAAGGCAAACGAAGGGUGGAAGAAAAAUGUAAAGAAAAGAAGAGAGAAGAGAGAAAUUGAGGUUAUGAAGACGAAAGAAAGGAGAACGAAAUAAAUUUAGAGAAUGCGAAGAAAUAUGGAGGUCACAGAGGAAAGGAAGCGAAGGAUGGAAGAAGAAUGUUAAGAGAAGGAGAAAAGAGAAGGAGAGAGGAAAUGAAGAAGAGAAAAGAAAGAGAAGGAUGAAAUAAGGAUGCUAAGAGAAGAAAAGAGGAGAAGAAAAUGAGGAAAUGAAGAAGAAAAAAGGAAGAGAAGUGUGAAAGAAAAAUUUUAAGAGAAGAAGAAAAGAGAAGGAAAGAGGAAAUGAAGAAGAGAAAAAGGAAGAGAAUGAUGAAGGAAGAAUACUAAGAGAAGAAAAGAGAAGAAAAAUGAGGAAAUGAAGAAGAAAAAAAGGUAUAGAAGGGUAGAAAAAGAUGCUGAGAGAAAAAGUAAAAGAGAUGAAAAAUGAGAAACAUGAGGAAGUGGAGGGAAAGAAAGAAGGAAAUGGAGAACACAGAUAGGAUGGAUUAAAAAUGCCAACGUAAAAAUACAAUAAAAAAAGAGAAACAGGAAAAUGAACGAAAGCUAAGGAGACAUGAAGAGGGGGGGAUAAAAGGAUACGAGAAAAAUAAAAUAGAAAGAGAGGAGAAGGGGUAAGGGAAAUGUAUGAGAAGGAGGGAAGGAAGAAAGAUGGACUGAAGGGAAGGAAAGAAAGGGAAGUGGGAGGGAGAGAAAAAGACUUGGUGCAGAGGAAGGUGAAGAAUUAUGGAUGAUGGGAAGGGGAAGGAAUGAAAGGAAGGGAAAGGGCUUGAAGCUAAAGGAGAGGAAAGGAAUAGUAAGAAAAAAAAAGAGAAAACAGGGCAUAAGAAAAAUGGAGAACGAAAAUGAAAGAAUAAGGAAGGAAGGAUGAUGUGAAAGAGGAUAAAAGGAAAGAAAUAAUAAAAGGUAAUAACAAAAAGAGGGAGAGAGGAACUAAACAGAAAUAGAGAGGAAAGGAAGGGCGAGAGACUGACUAGAAA